UACCCUGUCAGGAAGGUUUGCUCAAUCGGGCCGAUUGCAAAACAGAGAUGCCAGCACUCGAAUUCUACCGGUUGGAAUUCGUUCCGUUUUCGGUUCGAUUUUCAUCCGCCUGCUCGAUUGCUCGAAAACAGACGAUAUUUUUUGCAGUGCUGCGAUGAACAAAACGAAACACGAGCAGUUUUCAAUCGCAGCAAUCCGGUGGCGUGUUUUGUUUUGGCGCGUGAUUGUUGUGAAAUUUGUCGCAGUUAUUUUUGUUUGUAUAUUUCCGCUGUUCCUGAAUUCAGAAAUGCUUUGAGCGCUUUAUAAGUAGAAAAAGCCAUUGUCCGGCGAGCCUUCCGACGGAAGGCUCGAUUAUAAGAAGAAGAAGGAGGAGAAGUCCGGCGAUAAUUUGAUGAAAAGAAAGAAAACAUCGACCCAUGCAAACAAAGCUUCCAAGGAAAUGUCCACACGGUACGGGCUCUGGUGGAAUGUCAUCCGAACAUCGUAUCCGGAUCCGGAUUCCAGACACGCCUAGAGGUGGUGGCUUCAGUUGAUUACUUUUAAUCAGUUUUCGGUGUUAUAUUUCUAAGUGGAAAGUAUGCCAAAAAUCUGAAGCCUUAAAAGUACUGAAAAAGAAAAUCCCUAAUAUUACAUGACACCACACGAUUUUCUAAUGUAAAAUUCCGUGUAAUUUUACGAACAAAAUCUGAUUUCUUAACAGAACUAAAAUUUUAUGACUUUAAUAUUAUAUGACAAUUUUCUUGUGUAAACUUUACAACGUUGAAUAUUAAAACAGGAUUGAAAUUGAACUGAAUUAAUAUUACAUGACAUGAAUCACGGUUUAACACACAAAUUUACACAACAUUCAAAAUACACAAAAAAUAAAACAAAAUUAAAUAAAAUUCAGUAUUCACAAUUCGGAUUCUGAGUGCAUUUUUCUCAAAAACAGAACCAGUUAUGUGUUAAAUCCAAAAUCCAACAACAACAACAACAACAACCAGUUAUGUGUUAUCGUGCUGAUAGUGGUCUGGUCGAAUUCGUGGUAAGCCGAAGUGGGAAGAGCCGGAAGUUCAGCAAAUCCAGCGGCUUUGCAUAACGGAGGCAGGCACUUUGUCAGGUGGACACGCCACAGCAGCAGAUGCCGUCGGUGGGAACAACACGAUGGUUGGCGAAGGUGGUGUUGGGAAGAAAAUGCAAGCCGGAACAUAUUGUCAGCACCUUAAUAGUUUUCCAAAAGGUUAGAGGGAAUUGCAAAAAUCAUCGCAAAUGUAUUGAGAAACUUGGCUGGAUGAUGACUUACAACGCGAUCUGUGCUGCUAAACAAAGUUUCGCACCAGGAACAGCUAAAUCAACGUUGCCUAUCGGUUUGGAACAAUGCUGAGGUCCAUUAUAGCUAGAAGAUUCAAGAGAACUUUCAAUGAUAAACCGCAGCGGUUUUGAAAUAUGAAUCAAUCUGUGCACCAGAAGAUGUCAACAAAAGUGAUAAGCUCUGUUCCUGCUGCAAACAUCGAGAAGAGCAAGAACCUGCAAAUUGCAAUCGACAGGAGUCGUCGGUAGAGUCCCAUAGGUGCUUUUUUAAUGUUUCCGAGAGCAGACGCCCAUCGAUGAAGAUCAUUGGGCGAGGUGACCAAAGGCUUUUUGCAUCAGAACGAGCGCAAUGCAUGUGCCGAUACUACCGAAGGAACCUCUGCCUGUUCGAUCGUCCAGAAGAAUUUUUGCGACACUACCGCGGCCAGUUGACGUCAGAUUGUGCACCGCUGCUCUUCAAGAAUGAGAAACAAAUUAGCCGGAAGGCCCGGGAUAUUACCGCUAAGUGCUUGCCCUUGAUGUUCCUGUCCUACAAUUGUAGAGUUCAAGAAAGCGGAAAAAUCUGGCUGGAGCACAACAAAGAUGUGACCAAGCAGUUGGUUGGAUUUUGUGAGCAGGGUUCGUUCCGGUGGAUUUUGUAAGCAGGGUUCGUUCCGGUGUUGCCAAGCCAGAAGUAUUUUGCUUUCGUGAGUGGAAAAUAGCAUAGAUUUGGCGAUUAUUGCUCAAAUUCUAAAUUUAACGCGAUAGCAAUAUUCGGAACACAGCUGUCGACGACGACGACGAUGAUGUGGGCAUCAUCGUGCUUGUACUCAGUACUGCUGGUGGUUUGAGCUGCUUCCACCCACAAUUUUCGUGUUGUCUGAGCAGUCGUUUUUAACCAAUAGUUUAGGCUGACCUGCAUUAUUAUAAACAACAGUUCGUUAUUCUGAGAUGGCCCCACAAGCUGCAUCCCCCCCCCCUCCCCCGACUCUGAUUUAAUCCCAACUAGUCCGUGUUCAUACUCCAUGGAUCAUCAGACAGUCUACGAAGCCCGCCCGAUCGAGUGAGGCGAUUUUCAAAUAGAAUACGAUGUGGAUCCUAUUUUGCAAAACAAAAUAGAGCUACCCUUCCAGAAUCGAACGCUUGACGAAAUUUAUACACGGGUUUUUUGGCACGGUCAAAGGAUUUCUGAUUUCAAAUUUAGUAGCAGACGACAGACAAAGUGAUAGUCCAAUAUUUUUGCAAUUAUCACUUAAUAAUGACUUCAGAAGCGCAUCUGGAAAAUGCUUGCAAUUGACUUUUAUACAAACUGUUCAUGACAUGUGCCAAGUUGAAUGCGAAACGGAGUUCGUAUGGGAUCAGCUAGUUUUAUAUAAAUAAGUUGUAAAUUGGUCGCAGUUUUGUUCACAGUUGACAAGAAUAGUUCCUUACACUACUUGAGAUAACCUAAUCUAUGGCUGACACGAAGUCUGAAUCAUCGUUGAAGAGCGGCAUUACUAUAGGUGGCGCACAUAAGUUUGCACCGGAAGGGCCGCGAUAGAUCGAAAAAGCAAGUUGUCUUUAGAUUUACAGAAGUUUCCUACCGGGCAACGACGAACGGAACAAUCUAAUCUGAUUUACCGUGAUGCAGCAGAGUUUGAUCAAGACUGAUGGAUUUAAGCUGGACAGGAGUAUAAGAAUAGAUGAUAUCCAAACAGGAAGUCAAACAGCAGAGCAGUGAUUGCAGCCAUUAGGAACUCGGCCUCAAUGUCGAUAGAUAUCUGACACCAAAGGUGCGAAAAAACUUGAACAUACUCUCCGAAACCACAAAUUGUACCACAACGAUAACAGGAAUCAUAAGAUUUUUUUAUUUAAGCGGAUUGUUAGCAUUAACUUUAGAUUUCAGCAAAUAUUUAUUACCAGUAGUAAAAUCUUCUUUUUUUUUCAAACUUAUUAUGGACAUCAGUUUGUAUUACAUGAGAGUUAUUCAAAAAAUGAUUUGGAUUCGCGCAAAGUAAGACUCGUCUCAUAUAUCAAAAGUAGAAGAAAAUUGUAAUUCAUGUACCUGCCAGGGAAACUAUCCAUAAUUGUACUUAAAUUAAAAGAUUAGAUGAAUUUUUAAUAACUUAUGUUAGCUAUGAACACUCAAUACCCAUAGUCAUGGUUAUUUAAUUUAAUGGUAUUAUUAUUGUGUUUUUUUUAUCAAACUGCUUUGGAGUCAUAUUUUGUAACAACACAAAAAAACAUAUCAAGGCAAAUCAGAUAUUAUUUUGUCUUACUCAAAGUCAAGAAACAUCAGAAGAAAAAUUCGAUGAUAGAUUUUUGUAAAUGUUAAUUAUUAUUUGAUUAUUUAUAUUGAUACAAU